rnacentral:lncRNA from 1 species
GAAGGGAAGGAAAACUGUUUCUCUUCGGAUAGCCCAGAUUGCAUCAAAAAAAUUUCUAUUAAUCUAUAUGAAUAAAAUUAAAUCCUUACCUGAUUAGUAGCAAAACCAGAGAUUAAACCUUUAUGGAGGCAUGAAAGUGCAGACCCUUUACUUCACAUACACAUCAGAUGCCGCAGAAAAACGGGAUGAACUCUGAUCAAAUCACCUUUGCAAUCCAAUCAAACAAGAGAGGAGAGGUGCUGGUGUGACAUCUCACACCAGCAAAGGAAACACCCACAAGAAGGUCCACAGCA